GAAAGCCCUAUGAUGGGAAACUACCACGUUAGGUUUGGAGAGAGAUAGGACCGGUUAUAUAAUAGGGGGAGCAGAUGCAAGCUUUUUCUUUCAAUAGCCGGCC
rnacentral:sRNA from 1 species